GGUGAACGCUGGCGGCGUGCUUAAGACAUGCAAGUCGAACGGCAGUCUUCGGACUGUAGUGGCGCACGGGUGAGUAACGCGUAACUGACCUACCCCAAAGUCGCGGAUAACGAUGCGAAAGAAUCGCUAAUAGGUGAGGAUCUGUCAGAUUGUGUUCUGCCAGUAAAGAUUGAUUGCUUUGGGAUGGGGUUGCGUUCCAUCAGCUAGUGGGUGGGGUAAAGGCGCACCAAGGCGACGACGGAUAGCCGGCCUGCGAGGGUGGCCGGCCACAAGGGCACUGAGACACGCGUCACACUCCUACGGGAGGCAGCAGUUAGGAAUCUUCAACAAUGGGCGAAAGCCUGAUGGAGCGACGCCGCGUGAGGGAUGAAGGUAUUCGGAUCGUAAACCUCUGAAUCAGGGACGAAAGACACUUCGGUGGGAUGACGGUACCUGAGUAAUAGCACCGGCUAACUCCGUGCCAGCCGCCGCGGUAACAC
rnacentral:rRNA from 1 species